UAUGAACCGUUAUAACCGGCGAUUUCCGAAUGGGGAAACCCAGUGUGUUUCGANCGUGCUAAUCUGCGAUAAGCGUCGGUAAGGUGAUAUGAACCGUUAUAACCGGCGAUUUCCGAAUGGGGAAACCCAGUGUGAUUCGUCACACUAUCAUUAACUGAAUCCAUAGGUUAAUGAGGCGAACCGGGGGAACUGAAACAUCUAAGUACCCCGAGGAAAAGAAAUCAACCGAGAUUCCCCCAGUAGCGGCGAGCGAACGGGGAGCAGCCCAGAGCCUGAAUCAGUGUGUGUGUUAGUGGAAGCGUCUGGAAAGGCGCGCGAUACAGGGUGACAGCCCCGUACACAAAAAUGCACAUGCUGUGAGCUCGAUGAGUAGGGCGGGACACGUGGUAUCCUGUCUGAAUAUGGGGGGACCAUCCUCCAAGGCUAAAUACUCCUGACUGACCGAUAGUGAACCAGUACCGUGAGGGAAAGGCGAAAAGAACCCCGGCGAGGGGAGUGAAAAAGAACCUGAAACCGUGUACGUACAAGCAGUGGGAGCACGCUUAGGCNGUGAGGGAAAGGCGAAAAGAACCCCGGCGAGGGGAGUGAAAAAGAACCUGAAACCGUGUACGUACAAGCAGUGGGAGCACAGAGCAAUCUGUGUGACUGCGUACCUUUUGUAUAAUGGGUCAGCGACUUAUAUUCUGUAGCANGUGUGACUGCGUACCUUUUGUAUAAUGGGUCAGCGACUUAUAUUCUGUAGCAAGGUUAACCGAAUAGGGGAGCCGAAGGGAAACCGAGUCUUAACUGGGCGUUAAGUUGCAGGGUAUAGACCCGAAACCCGGUGAUCUAGCCAUGGGCAGGUUGAAGGUUGGGUAACACUAACUGGAGGACCGAACCGACUAAUGUUGAAAAAUUAGCGGAUGACUUGUGGCUGGGGGUGAAAGGCCAAUCAAACCGGGAGAUAGCUGGUUCUCCCCGAAAGCUAUUUAGGUAGCGCCUCGUGAAUUCAUCUCCGGGGGUAGAGCACUGUUUCGGCAAGGGGGUCAUCCCGACUUACCAACCCGAUGCAAACUGCGAAUACCGGAGAAUGUUAUCACGGGAGACACACGGCGGGUGCUAACGUCCGUCGUGAAGAGGGAAACAACCCAGACCGCCAGCUAAGGUCCCAAAGUCAUGGUUAAGUGGGAAACGAUGUGGGAAGGCCCAGACAGCCAGGAUGUUGGCUUAGAAGCAGCCAUCAUUUAAAGAAAGCGUAAUAGCUCACUGGUCGAGUCGGCCUGCGCGGAAGAUGUAACGGGGCUAAACCAUGCACCGAAGCUGCGGCAGCGACGCUGAUGCGUUGUUGGGUAGGGGAGCGUUCUGUAAGCCUGUGAAGGUGUGCUGUGAGGCAUGCUGGAGGUAUCAGAAGUGCGAAUGCUGACAUAAGUAACGAUAAAGCGGGUGAAAAGCCCGCUCGCCGGAAGACCAAGGGUUCCUGUCCAACGUUAAUCGGGGCAGGGUGAGUCGACCCCUAAGGCGAGGCCGAAAGGCGUAGUCGAUGGGAAACAGGUUAAUAUUCCUGUACUUGGUGUUACUGCGAAGGGGGGACGGAGAAGGCUAUGUUGGCCGGGCGACGGUUGUCCCGGUUUAAGCGUGUAGGCUGGUUUUCCAGGCAAAUCCGGAAAAUCAAGGCUGAGGCGUGAUGACGAGGCACUACGGUGCUGAAGCAACAAAUGCCCUGCUUCCAGGAAAAGCCUCUAAGCAUCAGGUAACAUCAAAUCGUACCCCAAACCGACACAGGUGGUCAGGUAGAGAAUACCAAGGCGCUUGAGAGAACUCGGGUGAAGGAACUAGGCAAAAUGGUGCCGUAACUUCGGGAGAAGGCACGCUGAUAUGUAGGUGAAGUCCCUCGCGGAUGGAGCUGAAAUCAGUCGAAGAUACCAGCUGGCUGCAACUGUUUAUUAAAAACACAGCACUGUGCAAACACGAAAGUGGACGUAUACGGUGUGACGCCUGCCCGGUGCCGGAAGGUUAAUUGAUGGGGUUAGCGCAAGCGAAGCUCUUGAUCGAAGCCCCGGUAAACGGCGGCCGUAACUAUAACGGUCCUAAGGUAGCGAAAUUCCUUGUCGGGUAAGUUCCGACCUGCACGAAUGGCGUAAUGAUGGCCAGGCUGUCUCCACCCGAGACUCAGUGAAAUUGAACUCGCUGUGAAGAUGCAGUGUACCCGCGGCAAGACGGAAAGACCCCGUGAACCUUUACUAUAGCUUGACACUGAACAUUGAGCCUUGAUGUGUAGGAUAGGUGGGAGGCUUUGAAGUGUGGACGCCAGUCUGCAUGGAGCCGACCUUGAAAUACCACCCUUUAAUGUUUGAUGUUCUAACGUUGACCCGUAAUCCGGGUUGCGGACAGUGUCUGGUGGGUAGUUUGACUGGGGCGGUCUCCUCCUAAAGAGUAACGGAGGAGCACGAAGGUUGGCUAAUCCUGGUCGGACAUCAGGAGGUUAGUGCAAUGGCAUAAGCCAGCUUGACUGCGAGCGUGACGGCGCGAGCAGGUGCGAAAGCAGGUCAUAGUGAUCCGGUGGUUCUGAAUGGAAGGGCCAUCGCUCAACGGAUAAAAGGUACUCCGGGGAUAACAGGCUGAUACCGCCCAAGAGUUCAUAUCGACGGCGGUGUUUGGCACCUCGAUGUCGGCUCAUCACAUCCUGGGGCUGAAGUAGGUCCCAAGGGUAUGGCUGUUCGCCAUUUAAAGUGGUACGCGAGCUGGGUUUAGAACGUCGUGAGACAGUUCGGUCCCUAUCUGCCGUGGGCGCUGGAGAACUGAGGGGGGCUGCUCCUAGUACGAGAGGACCGGAGUGGACGCAUCACUGGUGUUCGGGUUGUCAUGCCAAUGGCACUGCCCGGUAGCUAAAUGCGGAAGAGAUAAGUGCUGAAAGCAUCUAAGCACGAAACUUGCCCCGAGAUGAGUUCU
rnacentral:rRNA from 1 species